UACGAAGGGGGCUAGCGUUGCUCGGAAUCACUGGCGUAAAGCGCACGUAGGCGGAUUUUUAAGUCAGGGGUGAAAUCCUGGAGCUCAACUCCAGAACUGCCUUUGAUACUGGGAAUCUCGAGUCCGGGAGAGGUGAGUGGAACUGCGAGUGUAGAGGUGAAAUUCGUAGAUAUUCGCAAGAACACCAGUGGCGAAGGCGGCUCACUGGCCCGGUACUGACGCUGAGGUGCGAAAGCGUGGGGAGCAAACAGG
rnacentral:rRNA from 1 species